UGGGGAAUUGUUCACAAUGGGCGCAAGCCUGACGACGCAACGCCGCGUGGAUGACGGUACCGUAAGAAGAAGCACCGGCUAACUACGUGCCAGCAGCCGCGGUAAUACGUAGGGUGCGAGCGUUAAUCGGAAUUACUGGGCGUAAAGGGUGCGCAGGCGGCCCCGCAUGUCAGGCGUGAAAUCCCCGAGCUCAACUUGGGAAUGGCGCUUGAAACUACGGGGCUGGAGUGUGGCAGAGGGAGGUGGAAUUCCACGUGUAGCGGUGAGAUGCGUAGAGAUGUGGAGGAACACCGAUGGCGAAGGCAGCCUCCUGGGCCAACACUGACGCUCAUGCACGAAAGCGUGGGGAGCAAACNGGAUUAGAUACCCUAGUAGUCCCUGAGCGGGCUGGCAAGGCG
rnacentral:rRNA from 1 species